GCAUGUCUGUUGAGAAAUGGGCCCCUCCCAAGGACCCGACUUUUUGGAAUCUUAUAAAAGGUUCUCUGACCAUACACUCUUCAGUCUUCUGCCUAGCAGGUGGCAAGUUCCAGUUGGAGAACUGAGUGAGCCUUCCCGUGGAGCCAAGGUCUAAUUUGCCUUGACAAACGCCGCGAUGUCUCAGCAGGGCGCCAAAGGCUUUUCCAAAGGGUCUUCCCAGAGCUCCGCCCCCUGCUCCGCCCCGACUCCUGCCCCAGCGCCCUCCUCCUCUUGCUGUGGCCGCGGCUGCUGCGGGGGCGGUGGCUGCUGCGGUGACUCCGGCUGCUGCGGCUCCAGUUCCACCGGCUGCUGCUGCUUUCCCAGGAGGCGCCGCCGGCAGCGCAGUAGCUGCUGCUGCGGAGGAGGAAGCCAACGCUCCUGCAACAACCAGAGCUCUGGCUGCUGCGGUGGCUGCUGAAAGCCCAAGGAGCUGCGCCCAAGCAGCUGGCUUUCUACAGCGGCCCCUCUCUCUGCGGCUCCCACCCUGUCCUCCGUAGUAGUAAUAGGCAGGACCGGUCUUGGAGUUCGGUCCUCCUAACACUUGGAUGCUCAGAAACUUCACGCGCUUCUCAGUCCUGUCCCCUCAUGCUGAUUUUCUUCCCGGGGAAUACACAAGUCAAGGGAGGGACCUCAGACCAUGCUAUGGGCAAGGGGCUUGUGCACAGCAGUGUUCAAAAUUGUUCAGCUGAUUUGAUUGUCCUCCGAAGACGUCAUAAUAAAGCUUCUACCUCCUA